rnacentral:misc_RNA from 1 species
AACGCACAUUGCGCCCAUUAGUAUUCUAGUGGGCAUGCCUGUUCGAGCGUCAUUAAGUCCACUUAAGCCUAGCUUAGUGUUGGGAAUCUACUGUCGCGGAAGCUACCCGGUACUUACCCUGUAGCUACCCUGUAGUUCCUUAAAGUGAGCGGCGGAGUUGUGAUAUCCUCUGAGCUUAGUAGUAAAAUUCUAGCUUUCGAGAAACCACAUCGCUUGCCGUAAAACACCCUUCUUCUGAAUGGUUGACCUCGGAUCAGGUAGGAAUACCCGCUGAACUUAAGC